ACGAGUUUUGGUCGAUGAACGGUGCUUGCACUGUGAUUCAACUUAAAACGAGUGGCGGACGGGUGAGUAACACGUGGGUAACCUGCCCUUAAGUGGGGGAUAACAUUUGGAAACAGAUGCUAAUACCGCAUAAAUCCAAGAACCGCAUGGUUCUUGGCUGAAAGAUGGCGUAAGCUAUCGCUUUUGGAUGGACCCGCGGCGUAUUAGCUAGUUGGUGAGGUAACGGCUCACCAAGGCGAUGAUACGUAGCCGAACUGAGAGGUUGAUCGGCCACAUUGGGACUGAGACACGGCCCAAACUCCUACGGGAGGCAGCAGUAGGGAAUCUUCCACAAUGGACGCAAGUCUGAUGGAGCAACGCCGCGUGAGUGAAGAAGGCUUUCGGGUCGUAAAACUCUGUUGUUGGAGAAGAAUGGUCGGCAGAGUAACUGUUGUCGGCGUGACGGUAUCCAACCAGAAAGCCACGGCUAACUACGUGCCAGCAGCCGCGGUAAUACGUAGGUGGCAAGCGUUAUCCGGAUUUAUUGGGCGUAAAGCGAGCGCAGGCGGUUUUUUAAGUCUGAUGUGAAAGCCCUCGGCUUA
rnacentral:rRNA from 2 species